UGAAGAAGAAUUGGACAUGAGCUCAUAGUCACACAGUAGUUCUGCAGGGUGGUUUCUGAAUGUUUCUAAGUCUGCCAUUAAGUACAAUGUCUUCAUGUUUCCAGUGACUUUUUCCCCACUUGAAACUGAACCCAGAAGGAUAUUUCUUCCAACGGGGUGCAUCAGUCCUUCAGUUAUCUAUGGAGAAUACAAAAGGGAUAGCCUUCUUUGUGUGGAACCUCAUUCACUGAAAAUC